GUCGUUAAGGAACUCGGCAAGUUGACCCCGUAACUUCGGAAUAAGGGGUGCUCACGAGAGUGAGCCGCAGAGAAUAGGCCCAGGCAACUGUUUACCAAAAACACAGGUUUGUGCUAAAUCGAAAGAUGACGUAUACGAGCUGACGCCUGCCCGGUGCUGGAAGGUUAAAAGGAGAUGUGCAAGCAUUGAAUUGAAGCCCCAGUGAACGGCGGCCGUAACUAUAACGGUCCUAAGGUAGCGAAAUUCCUUGUCAGGUAAGUUCUGACCCGCAUGAAAGGCGUAAUGAUCUGGGCACUGUCUCAACAGCCCGCCCGGCGAAAUUGUAGUACCGGUGAAGAUGCCGGUUACCCGCGACAAGACGGAAAGACCCCAUGGAGCUUUACUGUAGCCUGAUAUUGGGUUUCGGUGUUGCAUGCACAGGAUAGAUGGGACGCUGGGAAAGAAGCGCUUUGGCGUUUCUGGAGCGGACGUUGGGAUACCAUCCUUGCGACAUUGGAAUUCUAACCUGCGCCUCUGAAUCGAGGCGGGGGACAUUGUCAGGUGGGCAGUUUGACUGGGGCGGUCGCCUCCUAAAAAGUAGCGGAGGCGUUCAAAGGUUCGUUCGAUCUGGACGGAAACCAGAUGAUUGAGUGCAAACGCAUAAACGAGCCUGACUGCGAGACUGACGGGUCGAGCAGAGACGAAAGUCGGAGUUAGUGAUCCGGUGGUAUGUGAGUGGAAAUGCCAUCGCUCAACGGAUAAAAGUUACCCUGGGAUAACAGGCUGAUCUCCCCCAAGAGUCCACAUCGACGGGGAGGUUUGGCACCUCGAUGUCGGCUCAUCGCAUCCUGGGGCUGAAUUCGGUCCCAAGGGUUUGGCUGUUCGCCAAUUAAAGCGGUACGCGAGCUGGGUUCAGAACGUCGUGAGACAGUUCGGUCCCUAUCUGUCGUGGGCGCAGGAUAUUUGAAAGGCGCUGUCCCUAGUACGAGAGGACCGGGAUGGACGAACCUCUGGUGCACCAGUUGUCACGCCAGUGGCACAGCUGGGCAGCUAUGUUCGGAUCGGAUAAACGCUGAAAGCAUCUAAGCGUGAAGCCGGCCUUAAGAUAAGAUAUCCCACUGAGUCAAACAGGUAAGACCCCUUGAAGACUACAAGGUUGAUAGGCACACAGUGUAAGCGGAGUGAUCCGUUCAGCUAGCGUGUACUAAUAGGUCGAGGGCUUG
rnacentral:rRNA from 1 species